rnacentral:tRNA from 1 species
GCCUUCGUGGUGUAGUGGUCAACACGCUCGGCGUGUAUUUGAGAGGUCCGUGGUUCGAGUCCCGGAGAACGCA